CUUCUUUAAGAAGCUUUCUUGAUGGAGGGGAGUGGCAGACGGGUGAGUAACGCGUGGGAAUCUACCGUACCCUACGGAAUAGCUCUGGGAAACUGGAAGUAAUACCGUAUACGCCCGCAAGGGGAAAGAUUUAUCGGGGUAUGAUGAGCCCGCGUUGGAUUAGCUAGUUGGUGGGGUAAAGGCCUACCAAGGCGACGAUCCAUAGCUGGUCUGAGAGGAUGAUCAGCCACAUUGGGACUGAGACACGGCCCAAACUCCUACGGGAGGCAGCAGUGGGGAAUAUUGGACAAUGGGCGCAAGCCUGAUCCAGCCAUGCCGCGUGAGUGAUGAAGGUCUUAGGAUUGUAAAGCUCUUUCACCGGAGAAGAUAAUGACGGUAUCCGGAGAAGAAGCCCCGGCUAACUUCGUGCCAGCAGCCGCGGUAAUACGAAGGGGGCUAGCGUUGUUCGGAAUUACUGGGCGUAAAGCGCACGUAGGCGGGUAUUUAAGUCAGGGGUGAAAUCCCAGAGCUCAACUCUGGAACUGCCUUUGAUACUGGGUAUCUUGAGUAUGGAAAAGGUAAGUGGAAUUGCGAGUGUAGAGGUGAAAUUCGUAGAUAUUCGCAGGAACACCAAUGGCGAAGGCGGCUUACUGGUCGAUUACUGACGCUGAGGUCCGACAGC
rnacentral:rRNA from 1 species